rnacentral:misc_RNA from 1 species
GAAAUGCGAUAAGUAGUGUGAAUUGCAGUAUUCAGUGAAUCAUCGAAUCUUUGAACGCACAUUGCGCCCUUUGGUAUUCCUUAGGGCAUGCCUGUUCGAGCGUCAUCUAAACCUUCAAGCCCUGCUUGGUGUUGGGUGCCUGUCCCGCCUCCGCGCGCGGACUCACCUCAAAUCCAUUGGCGGCCCCCGCGUCGGCCACGAGCGCAGCAGAAACGCGAACUCGUGAGCCCGUCCGGGCGGCUCCCAGAAGCUACACCCACCCAGUUUGACCUCGGAUCAGGUAGGGAUACCCGCUGAACUUAAGC